rnacentral:lncRNA from 1 species
CAUUCCUGGGAGGCUGGUUUGGAGAACUCACUGAACCUAAGUGAGCAGGAAGUGAAGGUCUGUUCCCACCUGUGCCUGUGUUCCCAGAUAGCAGCUGCCUCCAGGAGACUCACCAGGAGCCAGGUCCCUCCAUACCUCAUCUCAAUUAACUCACUCACCAGGAGCCAGGUCCCUCCAUAACUGAUCUCAAUUAACUCACUCACCAGGAGCCAGGUCCCUCCAUACCUGACCUCAAUUAACUCACUCACCAGGAGCCAGGUCCCUCCAUACCUCACUCACCAGCAGCCAGGUCCCUCCAUACCUCAUCUCAAUUAACUCACUCACCAGGAGCCAGGUCCCUCCACACAGAGUCUCAAUUAACUCACUCACCAGGAGCCAAGUCCCUCCAUACCUGAUCUCAAUUCACUCACUCACCAGGAGCCAGGUCCCUCCAUACCUCAUCUCAAUUAACUCACUCACCAGGAGCCAGGUCCCUCCACACAGAGUCUCAAUUAACUCACUCACCAGGAGCCAAGUCCCUCCAUACCUGAUCUCAAUUAACUCACUCACCAGGAGACAGGUCCCUCCAUACCUCAUCUCAAUUAACUCACUCACCAGGAGACAGGUCCCUCCACACCUCAUCUCAAUUCACUCACUCACCAGGAGCCAGGUCCCUCCAUACCUCAUCUCAAUUAACUCACUCACCAGGAGCCAGUCCUCUCCAUACCUGAUCUCAGUUACCUCACUCACCAGUAGCCAGGCCUCUCCAGACCUGGCUUAAUUCUCACUAUACUUAAUUCAAUUAAUUCUCACUAUAGCCCUAUCAGACAAACUCUAGGAUACACAUGAGGAUACAGAGUCUCAGAAAGGCUGAGAAAGUGGCUUGAGGUCACCUAGGUGGUAAGUGGUAGAGCUAGGAGUUGAAGUCAAGUCUGACUCUCAAGUCCACGCUCUUUCCAUUGCACUAUCUGCUUUUCUUUCUCCCCAAAGCCACAAUAUGCCACGAUGCGGCCCAAGGCCUCUCCUCCAGUACCGUGCUGAGGGCUCUGAACAGAUCAGGGCUGAAGCCAAGAUGUCAUCCAGUGCAAUACCCACAUGACCUCCGUGAAUAUCUACCCUGCCUUAACACUGUUUAUCUUUAGGAAGCAGGAUGCCUGAGGUCCAAACUUCUCCCUGGUGAUCAAACCAGCUAAGACUGAUGGAAUCCAAGAUGGCAGCUCAUUUGACCUCUAACUUCAUUAUAAUCUAAUUUCCAUGUUAAAUGACAGUCCCACUAACACCGUAACAGUCAACAACCAACAUGACAAUGAUGGGAAAAAAUAACAUAAAAAAACAAAUAGGAAGGUGGCACUCUGGUUUUGAAAAUUUCUCCACCCAGACCCAGAAAACACAUGAUUCCUCCCCUUGCUUUUUUCAUUUUUAUUUUUGUAGAGAUGGGGGUGUAUCACUAUGUUGACCAGGAUGGUCUCGAACUCCUGGUCUCAGCAAUCCUCUCAUUUUGGCCUCCCAAAGUUCUGGGUUUAUGGGAGUGAGCCAUUGCACCUGGCCACUCCUCCCCUUGCUUUUAAUGCUCAGCCCCUUCACUAAAGAUGCCCUGUAUCUGUGACUUCCUGGGUCUCACGAGCAGAAAAGUUGAUUUGUGAGCCAAGCUCUCACUUCUCAAUUCCAUGGCCACCAAAUAAAGCCUGCACUGCUUGAGGCUCACUUUCGGUUUUGCAUAUUGGCUUCAUGGCACCAAACAGGGAAAGACCCCAUUUUAGGGAAAGUGGCUUUGUCAGUAACAAGGACACAGAAGGAAAGAAAUGGAGGAUGAUUUAGGGCAGAAGUCAGCAAACUAUGGUCUAUGGGCCAAAUCUGGCCACUGCCUGUUUUUGUGCAACUCAUAGGCUAAGAAUGUUUUCUACAUUUUUAGAUGGUAGGAGAAGAACAAAAGAGGAAGAAUGUUUUGUCACAAAAGUAUAUGAGAUUCAAAUUUCAGUGUCCACAGACGGCAAUCCUGGCUCCUACCCCUAAAACAAUCAUUGCAGUGGAGCUCUGCCCUAGCUACGGCCCCUUUCUUCUUUUGGUUCCCUGACUUUGGGGCCUGGAGGGCACAAAGGCAAGGAGCAGGCUGCCAUCCACCCCUUCUCAGAGAACCUGCAGGGAGCUCACCAUGCUCUGCAUCCAGUCUAGGUGGC